GUAGGUUGUCAAAAAAUUGUAAUUUUAACUGAAAAGUGACAUAUAAAUCUAUUGAUAGGGUACAGAACAUAGCUGACAUCCGUAUUGCCGGUCUCGGGUUGUAUUCUCACUGGAUUAAGAAGCCGUGUCACUUUAUUAGCAGAAGCCACACUUGUCAUAUCCUAGUUUAAAUGGUAUGGCUUGUUUAAUAAGCCUUUCAUAUUUCACUUAUACACUUUUAUGCCUAGGAUUUCACUGAUGAAAUUCUCCCAGCAUGUGCGAUCUCGGGGGACAUAGCUAGAAUACUGAGAAAGUUGGCAAUGACUAUUUUCUAUCUUAUAGCAUAGAUUAAAAAUGGUUAGACCUGGAAGAUACCUUGGGGAAAACAUAGCCCAUUUAAUUUAUGAAUUAGGAAAUUGAGACCUAUCAGAGUUGAACAACUUCCUGUGGCCUUCCAGCAAGUUCAUAGUACAGAGAGGCCCGGAACUUGGUGUGGCUAAGAAUAGAUCUGAUCAUCUUGGGCUUGCUUUGAGUGUUCCUCUUGUGACUUGAAAUAAAAUUCAUAGUUGUUACACUGAAAGAAAAUUUUAGACUCUUACUGAAGAAUUAUAUGGUCCCGAAUGUCUGGGAAGUGAAGGAGGAAUCUGACAUUGCAGAGCUCCAGCGAUUAUUUGCUCCCCUUCCCACCCAAGAUCAAGUAGUUUCAGAAGCAGUUCUGUCUCUGACUAAAAUGAUUAUCAGAAGGAGGACAUGGCUAUUGUGUGCCUAACAUAUGGCGCUGCAAAGCAGGAGAUUUCCUUUGCUCUCAGCCAUGUGCUCCUCAAUAACAACUGCGCUCACUUUAUUCAAGGCACACUGAGCACAUUUCCCUGACCCUGACUGCAGUGCACAUCAUGGGAGAAGAAUGUGCAGAGGACUUACAGGCCUUGUCCCCGGCACACGUGGAAGCCCGCUGCCGUUUGGUGGAGAUGCAGGCAGAAGCAUGAGGGGGCCAAAUGGACAAAACUUGCCCAGACGAGAGCCUGGGUGGCCACACCUCCUUUUUUUGUGGCCCACCUUGCCUCGGGAGUUCCGCUGGACUGUCCCGCUGCCCCGAGCUGCUCACGCUCCCUCGUGGGUGAACUCUGGGGUGCAUCCUUCUCUACAGGGUGGUCACCUCCCACCUCUCUCUUUCUGCUCUAGCUCACCCUGCCUGAGUUGUAUCCUGUUCUCUGUGCUCUCUUCUCCAAGGAGAUAAACUGGUAAGAGAAGAACCAUGCAU